CCUACGGGGGGCAGCAGUGAGGAAUAUUGGUCAAUGGGCGCAAGCCUGAACCAGCCAAGUCGCGUGAGGGAAGACUGCCCUAUGGGUUGUAAACCUCUUUUGUCAGGGAGCAACGCCGGCUACGUGUAGCCGGACUGAGAGUACCUGAAGAAAAAGCAUCGGCUAACUCCGUGCCAGCAGCCGCGGUAAUACGGGGGAUGAGAGCGUUAUCCGGAUUGUUUGGGUUUAAAGGGUGCGUAGGCGGAGUGCAAAGUAAGCGGUAAAAUCGCGGGGCUCAACCUCGCUCCGCAGUUGAUACUGGCGUUCUUGAGUAGGCGAGAGGUAUGCGGAAUGCGUGGUGUAGCGGUGAAAUGCAUAGAUAUCACGAAGAACUCCGAUUGCGAAGGCAGCAUACCGGCGCCCAACUGACGCUGAGGCACGAAAGCGUGGGUAUCGAACAGGAUUAGAUACCCGAGUAGUC
rnacentral:rRNA from 1 species